rnacentral:rRNA from 1 species
GAUGAACGCUGGCGGCGUGCCUAAUACAUGCAAGUCGAGCGAACAGACGAGGAGCUUGCUCCUCUGACGUUAGCGGCGGACGGGUGAGUAACACGUGGAUAACCUACCUAUAAGACUGGGAUAACUUCGGGAAACCGGAGCUAAUACCGGAUAAUAUAUUGAACCGCAUGGUUCAAUAGUGAAAGACGGUUUUGCUGUCACUUAUAGAUGGACCCGCGCCGCAUUAGCUAGUUGGUAAGGUAACGGCUUACCAAGGCAACGAUGCGUAGCCGACCUGAGAGGGUGAUCGGCCACACUGGAACUGAGACACGGUCCAGACUCCUACGGGAGGCAGCAGUAGGGAAUCUUCCGCAAUGGGCGAAAGCCUGACGGAGCAACGCCGCGUGAGUGAUGAAGGUCUUCGGAUCGUAAAACUCUGUUAUUAGGGAAGAACAAAUGUGUAAGUAACUAUGCACGUCUUGACGGUAUCUAAUCAGAAAGCCACGGCUAACUACGUG